CAACAGUACUUACAGGCUGCCCAGUCCAAAAAUAAUCGUCUUCGUGCUCAAAUAUUAGAUCAAUAGAUUGCUCUUAGCAGGUGUUUUGAGAUGAUGAUGUCUUUGGUUGGCCGGACUCCUUCACUUCCUCCACUACCCUUCUCUUAGUCCCGUAUUUCUUAUUUUGCUCCCUCUAGUACCUUUUCUUUAAACUAGUGCUCAAACUUUACAUUUUGUGCAACCCAUAUAGUGCUUGUUAUGUUGGUACAAUGCCGUGGUUGUUGUUGUUUACUCUGUUUUCUAUGUUUAUCCUUGCUACUGGCUAAUUAAUAUCAUUGGGCUGAUUUUUUCUUACUAUUUGGUGGUGUUCUAGUGAGUGUUCUCUGUACUAAUUUGUUUCGUCUUUUUUUCAAUGAUGCCAAAAGGGGGAAGUUCGUUGUAUUGUUUUUGGUGAGACAUGGGGACUAUGUCUGUGAAGUUAUGUUGUACCUGUGCAUUAUUUGUCAUUAUCAAAAAGGGGAAUAUGUGAAGUCUAGAAGAUAUGAAAUUAUAGUUUUGAUGAUUGACCUCUGAAUCAGUUUCAUGUUGAUUGUGAACCAGGUUCUUGGUUUUUGUGGGGCUGGAAUAUUUAGCUAGGUAACGUGCAGCAGUGUACUUAUUUAAAUAAGGAAUGCACAAUUAACGCAUUGGAAAGAAUCCAAAAUUUUAAGUCAAAAGAAAAUCUUUUUAUUAUGGUAAAGAGGUGUAUUCUAGCAGGUUUCCAUAUACAAGUUGGUUUCCACAAGAAAACGUUUUUGGUGACCUAAAGGGAGUCAAAGAGCAGUAGUAUAUAUGCAGUGCUGGGAAGUGGCGCAGAUACCUUUUAGCAAAUCCACAGAUCUGAAAAUUAGAAGAAGCAAGAAGGAGCAAUCAAGUAAAAUCGAGCAAAUUGAUCGAGACCAAGCUAUUACUAGGUAACUGUUUGGUGUUGGAAAUAUAAGUGUUUCUUUUUAGUUGUAAUAGUCUUUGUUUAUUGUUAGAAGUGAAGUGUGGGAGAGGUGUUGUAACAAGAAGUGAGUUUGACUUCUUGGAGUGAUUAAGUUGUGUGUAGAACAGUUAGAGUUAACUGUCAAAGUG
rnacentral:lncRNA from 1 species